rnacentral:rRNA from 1 species
GAUCCUGGGCUCAGGAUGAACGCUAGCUACAGGCUUAACACAUGCAAGUCGAGGGGCAGCAUGGUCUUAGCUUGCUAAGGCCGAUGGCGACCGGCGCACGGGUGAGUAACGCGUAUCCAACCUGCCUUACACUCUUGGACAGCCUUCUGAAAGGGAGAUUAAUACAAGAUGUUAUCAUGAGUAAGCAUUUUCGCAUGAUUAAAGGUUUACCGGUGUAAGAUGGGGAUGCGUUCCA